ensembl:snRNA U6 U6 spliceosomal RNA
GCUCACUUCGGCAGCACAUAUACUAAAACUGAGACGGUACAGAGAAGAUUAGCGUGGCCCCUGCGCAAGGAUGACACACAAAUUCGUGAAGCGUUCCAUGUUUUU